UGUGGAGAAAGGAAGGAAGAAUUCCCUGAUGUCUGCCAUUUGUGUGCACAUCUGUUGCAGUGGGAAGGAAAAUAACAUUUAUGGAGUACCUUCUAUAAUAGAAGUUUCCUGGAUCCCACCCAUGAAGGCGAUCCUGGAAUGUUGUCUCAAGUGUGGGGCCAAAGCACAGCCAGGAGGAGCAUUCCCUGAGGGCAGUUUGAAGAUUCAGAGCUGGCAAUAGAAGGCAAGGUCCUCCCUAAAGCACAGCAGAGCACAACUCAAGAAGAGACAAAAAGGACAAAAUAAGAAUGAGUGGCACAGUUGAUGAUGGGGAUUGCUGAGACCAUCUCAACAAUACCCGGGCUUGCUCUAAGGGAAUCAGGACUUCAUCUUUGAAGGAAACUGUUCUGGGGAAGCAAUGGCAAAAAUGAGCAAAGUUGGGAAAGUUGUGUUCCCGAGACUACAGGAUAAAAAAUACUAUGAUAAGAAAUACCAAGUAUUCCUGAAGCUGGUUGAACACCAGAAGGAGUAUUUGGCGAUCAUGAAUGAUGACUGAACAGGGCUUGCAGUUGCUGAUGCCAGAAGCUUCUGUGCCAUUGCAUUAAAGACUUCUGUCAUUUGAUCCAUGUUCAAGACCCUUGAGGUAUUGUUUCAUCAUUUCUGUAUUGUCUUUCAAUAAAGAAGACAAACAUGUGCAA
rnacentral:sRNA from 1 species